rnacentral:tRNA from 1 species
UUUAAGACUUUGGAUUGUAGCUCCGAAAAUGAGAGUCAAUCUCAUCUACGAAUAAAUUAUAAUG